GACGAACGCUGGCGGCGUGCCUAACACAUGCAAGUCGAACGCAGUGGGGACGGGUGAGUAACACGUGGGUAACCUCCCAUCAGAGGGGAUAACACUUGGAAACAGGUGCUAAACUGCUACUGAUGGAUGGACCCGCGGUGCAUUAGCGAGGUGGUGAGGUAAAGGCUCACCAAGUCCAAGAUGCAUAGCCGACCUGCGAGGGUGAUCGGCCACACUGGGACUGAGACACGGUCCAGACUCCUACGGGAGGCAGCAGUAGGGAAUCUUCGGCAAUGGGCGAAAGUCUGACCGAGCAACGCCGCGUGAGUGAAGAAGGUUUGCGGAUCGUAAAACUCUGUUGUUGGGGAAGCGGUAUCUAAACAGAAAGCCACGGCUAACUACGUGCCAGCAGCCGCGGUAAUAC
rnacentral:rRNA from 1 species